GCGUAAAGCGCGCGCAGGUGGUUUCUUAAGUCUGAUGUGAAAGCCCACGGCUCAACCGUGGAGGGUCAUUGGAAACUGGGGAACUUGAGUGCAGAAGAGGAAAGUGGAAUUCCAAGUGUAGCGGUGAAAUGCGUAGAGAUUUGGAGGAACACCAGUGGCGAAGGCGACUUUCUGGUCUGUAACUGACACUGAGGCGCGAAAGCGUGGGGAGCGAACAGGAUUAGAUACCCUGGUAGUCCACGCCGUAAACGAUGAGUGCUAAGUGUUAGAGGGUUUCCGCCCUUUAGUGCUGCAGCUAACGCAUUAAGCACUCCGCCUGGGGAGUACGGUCGCAAGACUGAAACUCAAAGGAAUUGACGGGGGCCCGCACAAGCGGUGGAGCAUGUGGUUUAAUUCGAAGCAACGCGAAGAACCUUACCAGGUCUUGACAUCCCACUGACCGGUAUAGAGAUAUACCUUUCCCUUCGGGGACAGUGGUGACAGGUGGUGCAUGGUUGUCGUCAGCUCGUGUCGUGAGAUGUUGGGUUAAGUCCCGCAACGAGCGCAACCCUUGAUCUUAGUUGCCAGCAUUUAGUUGGGCACUCUAAGGUGACUGCCGGUGACAAACCGGAGGAAGGUGGGGAUGACGUCAAAUCAUCAUGCCCCUUAUGACCUGGGCUACACACGUGCUACAAUGGAUGGUACAAAGGGCUGCAAGACUGCGAAGUCAAGCCAAUCCCAUAAAACCAUUCUCAGUUCGGAUUGCAGGCUGCAACUCGCCUGCAUGAAGCUGGAAUCGCUAGUAAUCGUGGA
rnacentral:rRNA from 1 species